GCCGAUCGUCGGAGCCACAGGGGCGGAGCCAAUUGAUUGUUCCAGUUUGUGGUUGUAGAGAUGAAGGCUGAAGGGGGAAGAAGGAGAGCUCCAUUUUUAUUCUUUGGGGCUUGGGUUGGUGAUUGGACCAUGGGGGAAAGAAGAAGAAGAGUUGCAGACACGAAGGUUGAUUGGACCUUGAUUGCAGACACAAAGGCUGAAGGGAGGAAGAAGAAGAAGAGUUCCAUUUUAAUUUUUUUUCAUUUGGGCUUGGGCUGGUGAUUGGACCAUGGGCCUCUUUUUGUUUAAAAAAAAAAAUAGCCCAUAGAAGAAAUCAAUGAAUGGUUGGUCCAUCAUCCAUGGUGUUUCCCCCCAAUCCAAAGUCAAAAUCCCCAACAUUUGAAAUCAAAAGCAAAGACAUAAAGACCCAAAAUGCAAACCCUUCCUUCCAUAUCCAUAUUUCCAUUCGAAGCAGAAGUAGCAGCCGCGACGCUUGCGAAGUGGGAAGUGCAACUGUGCGAGCAGUGGACCAUGUGCGAAUUGGUGCGAUGGUAGGGGCGAAUCUCCGACGACUGAGGCCGAGCAAGCAUCGUGGGUCUCAGAUUAAUUGAUAUGUGCUUAUGGAUUAUGGAUGGUUGGAUUAAAUCAGUAAUAUUCUUAUUUGGGAUCCACUAAACUUCUAUUUCUCAAAAACGAGUCUUGUAGUGGAAAAUGAUUGCAGUUUUGUUGCUCAUUAAAGGGUUUUAAGUGAUUAAUUGAGAUUGCUUUUUUUGUCUUGAUGUUGUUAGCUUUGUUCCUUAGGUUUAUCUUGCUGGUAAUUAAAUUGCUCAUGAAGCUUAUCUUAAA